rnacentral:rRNA from 1 species
CCCUUAGAUGUUCUGGGCCGCACGCGCGCUACACUGAUGAAUGCAACGAGCUCUACCCUUGACCGAAAGGCCCGGGUAAACUUGUGAAACUUCAUCGUGAUGGGGAUAGAUUAUUGCAAUUAUUAAUCUUCAACGAGGAAUUCCUAGUAAGCGCGAGUCAUCAGCUCGCGUUGAUUACGUCCCUGCCCUUUGUACACACCGCCCGUCGCUCCUACCGAUUGAAUGGUCCGGUGAAAUCUUCGGACUGCUGACCAAGAUCCAGCAAUGGAGCUUGGUUGCGAGAAGUUGAUUAAACCUUAUUAUUUAGAGGAAGGAGAAGUCGUAACA